GACGAACCGUGCGAACGUUAUUCGGAAUCAUUGGGCUUAAAGAGCGUGUAGGCGGCCAGGUAGGUCUGCUGUGAAAACUCGAGGCUCAACCUCGAGACGUCGGCGGAAACCAUCUGGCUAGAGUCCGGAAGAGGAGAGUGGAAUUCCUGGUGUAGCGGUGAAAUGCGCAGAUAUCAGGAAGAACACCCGUGGCGAAGGCGGCUCUCUGGGACGGUACUGACGCUGAGACGCGAAAGCGUGGGGAGCGAACAGG
rnacentral:rRNA from 1 species